rnacentral:rRNA from 1 species
CAGUAGCCGCGGGAAAACGAGGGGAGCUAGCGUUGUUCGGAAUUACUGGGCGUAAAGCGCGCGUAGGCGGCUUUUUAAGUCAGAGGUGAAAGCCCGGGGCUCAACCCCGGAAUUGCCUUUGAAACUGGAAAGCUAGAAUCUUGGAGAGGUCAGUGGAAUUCCGAGUGUAGAGGUGAAAUUCGUAGAUAUUCGGAAGAACACCAGUGGCGAAGGCGACUGACUGGACAAGUAUUGACGCUGAGGUGCGAAAGCGUGGGGAGCAAACAGGAUUAGAUACCCCUGUAGUCCCUGUCUCUAUACA